CUGGGAGCCUCCGACCAAGCCGCGGGAGGGCAGGUUUCAACACUGACGGUCCCGCAUCCGGGGGAUCCCUCAGUCCCAGGCAGAGCAGGCCGUCGGUCACCCCUCCAUCUCCCCUGCUGCCGCUGGUCCAGGUCGGGCCUCUCUGGUUCGGGGCAGACUGGUCUCCUGCCCCAAGUCCAGCGCCUCCCACCGUUCUCCACACAGCAGCCAGAUGUCGUCACUGUGAGGAGGGAUCUGGAGCUGCAUCCUGCUGGGCCUCCAGGGAGCAAUAGCGCCCCCUCACCUCUUCAUUCCCAGUCCUCAAGGCUGGCUCUGGUGCC
rnacentral:lncRNA from 1 species